AACAUAGCACUUGUCUACCGGGCACUGUAGAGCAGGAUGAGGAAAAGCCAGGAUCCAUCUCAGGGGAAGAAGGGCGAGGGGGCAAUGUGUCUCCCUUUCUGACAGUUGGUUUUCUCCCGGGAAGGGGAACAUGCAAAGUUAUGUCUGGAUUCUGGAAGUGGGAGGAGAUCUUGGAGGCCGAGAAGCCCAAUGCAGCACUGCAGCUCGGCUCCCUUUAUCUCUGAGGGAAGCAGGGACUCCUCUUUCACUCAUCUGUAACACGUCACUCUGGCCCAGCUGAUGCUUUGGGGAAACGGGGACAGGGGUCAUCAUCGAAUUAGCAGCAAUUAAGAACAGGCCAUACACUGCCACAGUGUGGAGGUGUCAUCCUGGCCCCAGGGACCUGAAAGCACAAACAAUAUUUUGAGACUACGGUUAUUAUCCCCACUUUACAGAGAAAGAAACUAAGGCUUAGAAAGAUGAAGACAUUUAGCCAAGUGGCGGAGGUGGAGGAUUCACACUCAGGUCUGCCAGAUCCCACCGUAUGUGUGAUGGGCUGCUUGUACGGAGGUGGAGAAAGGCCCAAGAGACGUUGGUUGAAUGAAUGAAGGGGGUGUGUGUGUGAAGGGAAAUGAACUAAGAGCCUGAGGUUGAAGGAGGGAGGAGGGGGAGAAGGAGGGAGCCUGGACCCACUCAUUCAAUAAAUAUUCCUUGGGUGCCUACACAAUAACGUGCCAAGCACUGUUCCGGGGCACUGCGUGUACAGUUGUGAACAGGACAAAGUCUGCCACAAGGGGCUUUCUAGUGGGGAAACAGAAAUCCACCAAGAAAGGAGACACGCAAAUAAGAUCACCUCACAUGGUGGUAAGUGCUGUGAUGAAAAUAAAACACGGUAGCAGGGAGGAGGCGAGUUUUGUGGCUCUGGAGGGGUGCAUGGAGAAAGGGCCUGAGGCAUGACCACCCCUUCCUCUCCGGGGGGACUGCCUGUCCUCCCCCACAGACGCCCAUGGUUCAGUGCCCACCAGGUCCCCGCCUGCCCCAGCAUCCCCCGCGCGGCGAAGCUGGGUGCCCCGGGGAGUCUGGCCACCAUGCCACCUCCUCUCCUCCUCUUCUUCCUCCACCUGUUCCUUACCCCCAUGGGAGUCAGGCCCCAGGAAACACACCUACUGGAGGCUAAAGAGGGAGGCAAUGCUGUGCUGCCAUGCCUUGACGGUCUCUCAGAUGGUCCCCCUGAGCAACUGGCCUGGUUUCGGGGCUCCCAAUCAACACCCUUCUUAGAGCUGAGCCUAGGGUUACCAGGCCUGGGCAUCCAUGUGGGGCCCCUGGGCACCCUGAAGGAGCCCCAGGGAACCUUGCUGUUCAUCUUCAAUGUCUCCGACCAGAUGGGGGGCUUCUACCUGUGCCAGCGAGGCCCCUUUUCUGAGCAAGCCUGGCAGCCUGGCUGGACGGUCAGCGUGAAGGGCAGCGGAGAACUGUUCCGGUGGAAUGCUUCAGACCUAAAUGACCCAAGCUGUGGCCUGCGGAACAGGUCCUCAGAGGGCCCCAGGCCCUCUUCUGGUCACCCCACAAGGUCCCAGGUCUAUGUGUGGGCCAAGAACAACCCUAAGAUCUUACACACAGACUCUGCCUGUGCCCCACCUAACGGCACUUUGAACCAGAGCAACAACCAUGACCUCACGGUGGCCCCUGGCUCCACACUCUCGCUGUCCUGUGGGGCAUCCCGUACCUCACUGGCCAGAGGCCCCAUCUCCUGGAUCCAUGUGCGUCCCGAGAAGCCUAGGAUCAAAUUGCUGAGCCUAAACCUGAAUGAGGAUGCCCAACUCAGAGAGAUGUGGGUCAUGGGCACCCUCGGGGGAAAGGCUGUUCUGUUGCUGCCCGAGACCACAGCUCAAGAUGCUGGCAUCUAUCACUGUAACCAUGGCAACGUGACCACCCAGAUGCAGCUGAAGGUCACUGCCCAGUCAGUAUGGCAUUGGCUACUGGAGACUGGUGGCUGGAUAGUCCCUGUUGUGACUUUAGUUUAUCUGAUCUUCUGCCUGGCUUCCCUGGUGGGCUUUCUUCAUCUUCGAAGAGCCCUGAUCCUGAGGAGGAAAAGAAAGCGAAUGACAGAUCCCACUAGAAGGUUCUUCAAAGUGACGCCUCCCCCGGGAAACGGGGCCCAGAACCAGUACGGGAACAUGCUCUCCCUCUCCACUCCCCACUCAGGCACGGGACGCGCCCUGCGGUGGGCUGCGGGCCUGGGAGCCACCGUGCCGCCCUACGGAAAUCCGCGCAGCGACGUCCAGGAGGCCAGAGCCUCGGAGUCCCGGAGCCCACCAGGGACCGGCCCAGAAGAAGAGGAAGGGGAGGCCUAUGAGGAGCCGGACAGUGAGGAGGGCUCCGAGUUCUACGAGAACGACUCCAACCUUGGGCAGGACCAGCUCUCCCAGGAUGGCAGCGGCUAUGAGAACCCUGAGGAAGGGGUCUUGGGUCCUGAGGAUGAAGACUCCUUCUCCAAUGCAGCUGAAUCUUACGAGAAUGAGGAUGAAGAACUGGCCCAGCCAGUUGCCAGGACAACAGACUUCCUGAGCCCCCAUGGGUCAGCCUGGGACCCCAGCAGGGAGGCAACCUCCCUUGGGUCCCAGUCCUAUGAGGAUAUGAGAGGGAUCCUGUAUGCAGUCCCCCAGCUCCGCUUUGUUCAAGCCCAGCCUGGUCCCAGUCAUGAAGAAGAUGCAGACUCUUAUGAGAAUAUGGAUAAUCCCGAUGGACCAGAACCAGCAUGGGGAGGAGGGGGCCACAUGGGCACCUGGAGCAACUAGAUGAUUCCCUUCAGGUGCAGUUGUGUAGAUGGAAAACUGAGGGUUAGAGAGGCCAAGUCAUGCAAGUAGCACUUCACAGAGCUGAAUCCAGAAAUCUGGCUGCUGUUCUAGCCAUGGUGCCUGCUGCCUGCUCCAGUGCUCUUCUGAAACCCAGGAUUGGCAUCUGAAACCUAGUCCCUCUCCUCCAGAAGUUUCAACGCUCUCUGCUCCGGACGCGCAGGCCCAGCGGCCAUGGCUCACGGGCCCAGCCACUCCGCGGCACGUGGGAUCCUCCUGGACCGGGACAUGAACCCGUGUCCCCUGCAUCGGCAGGCGGACUCUCAACCACUGCGCCACCAGGGAAGCCCUAGAAUUCCUUUUCUUAAUGUACCUGUUCUUUCUUCAUAAUGUCCUGUGUUUGUUUUUGAGACUCUAUUCCUUCUUUAUCUCGGAACCUUUAAAACUUACUUUAACUGUAUUAACGCCAUUAUGAUGUGCCAGGCAUUGUUCUAAUAAAUGCUUUACAAGUAGCAGCCCAUUUUAUCUUCAUGACAAUUCUAUGAGGAAGGUACGCUAAAAUUAUUAUCACCUUAGAGCUGAGAAGACUGCGGCACAGAGAAAUUAAAUACUUCAGCUGCUAGCUGACUUUAGGCACCUUACUCAAGCUCAAUGGCCCUCAGUGUUCCCAGUUAUAACGUAGCAUUAGGGAGGAGGCGAUUAUCACCAUCUGUACAAUGGGGUGAAGCCUCCCAUGGUGUAUCACCAUGGAAGCGUUCUUUGGCUUCUUUGUGUUUCUCCUGCAGGAGUCCUUUGCCUCACUCACAUCUUCUGGGGCCAGCUUGCUUUGGCUUCUGCCACAGUCUUACAGGCUACACAGGUUUCUGACCAUUUUAUUUAGAGCAGGCUUUUGCCCUAGGGGUUUGGUCUGACUCCAAGCCCAUACUCUGGUGACUCUGGGGAUUCUGAUUCCCUGCAGUGACUUUUUCCAAACUGCAUCCCAAGGCCUGUGGAUGGAUUGUUUUCCCCUCUGUCUUCUGUGCCCAGGAGAGACAGUCCUUUCUCAGCUCCCAGCUUUGCACAUGGGGCUUAGUUUCAGCAGCCAGAUUUCUGGAUUCCAUCUCUGCUCUUCCUGGGGCCUCAGCCUUAACCUCUGUCCCCAUGGGGACAUUAAAACUCCAAUCCUAGGGGUCCCAGCAUUCCCAUGCGCUGCCCUCUCAAUGUUGUAGCUUUGAUUUCCUUCGUUAUUUCUAGAACCAGGGAGAUUCUGUCCUGCUUUUGAGCUCAGGUAUCUAUUAAGAAAAAGAAAAGAAGGAAAGCGAUGCCUCUUGUUAUAUUUGCAUAGUGUACGUUUGGAAUGCAGGGGAUGGGAAAUGAAACUUCAGCAUUUCCUUGGCCUUCCCUCUUGGACACAGUCCCUGUGGCAGAAACAAAAUUAAAAAAAUAAUAAUAAAUAUCCCAGAUCUAGCUCAGGAUUCACACCCUGACCUGACCUUACCCUUCAGCUAAUGUAAGCUUUCCAUAUUGCCAAAGUCCCCACCAUUCCCUAUUGCCUUUCACCCAGUCUGCUUCAUUCAUGUUGGUCUCCUGCCUGUGCCUGAAUCAUUUGAACAUGACACUCCUGGUGAAAACAUCCUACCUUCUCAAGGGUGAAUCCAUGUCUGGGUCUUCUCUGUGCCCCUGGUACCCAGCCAGGGGAUGGCAAAGAUCAGGAGCUCAGGAAAUGAGUGGAGAAGGAGGAGUGAAUGAAGGACUGUGCCAAGUCCUGAGAUUCAGGGGCCAGAGGCUGGAGCUACUCCUGUGAGCUCUGCUACCCAGCGAAGUCUUGGGAGAAGAUGAGGAACAGAGGUAUGCUAACUCCAGCCCAGUGCUCUGGAAUUAGACUACCUGAGUUUGAAUCCCAGCUCCAACCCUUUCUGGCUGUGUGACUCAAACUCUCUGUGCUGCAGUUUCCUGGUCUGUAGAACAGGGAUAAUAAUGAUAGCUACCUUGGUGAAUCUUAAAUGAGAUGUAAAGCACAUGACAGUAGCAUAGUAGGCACUCGAACAUUAGCUAUUAUUAUUAUUUGGCAUUUAUUAAGGGCCUACUGUGUCCCAGGAGCCAGAGGGCACACAGAAUAUUUGGAUUAGGAAUUCCUCCAGUGCAGGGACCUGCUCAGAAGAAAGCCACACUCCAAAGCUUCACAAAUUCCCACCCCAUGACCUGUUUCUUUGGCAGGGACUGGAUCACUUAUAGUUCCUGAACAAGAUUUAGGGACAAGGAGGCUUGAGAGAGGUUUCAGGCCCUCAGGGUCACCCCUAGUUUGCAGGGGCCUCCCAGGUAGGGACCGAGGCUGCAGAAGGGCUUUUGGUGUAAUCUCUAUGCUUCCAGCCUUACUAUAAAGAGUGGAUGAAGAGUUCCCAGGGCUAGGAGGUCCUUGGAGUCCACUCUGCCAGGUCCAGAGCCUUUGUUCCUUGGGGAACAGCCUCACCUGCUGGGGUUGUGUGCUUUCAGUCUUGACCUUGGCUGAGUCUACGUGGAGCACUUGAAGUGUGGGCUGAGUUGGGCUGUGUGUUUAGGGGAUAUCAGUGUAGGAGAGGAGGGGGAUGGGAUGGGAUGGGAUGUGGGUGGUCAUCAAGAUGCUGUACUGGGGGAGCUUCCCUGGUGGCGCAGUGGUGAAGAAUCCGCCUGCCAAUGCAGGGGACACGGGUUUGAGCCCUGGUCUGGGAAGAUCCCACAUGCCGCGAGCAACUAAGCCUGUGUGCCACAACUACUGAGCCCGCGUGCCACAACUACUGAAGCCCGAGCGCCUAGAGCCCGUGCUCCGCAACAAGAGAAGCCACCACAAUGAGAAGCCCGCGCACUGCAACGAAGAGUAGCCCCCGCUCGCCGCAACUACAGAAAUCCCGCGUGCAGCAACAAAGACCCAACGCAGCCAAAAAAAAAAAAGAUGCUGUACUGGGACUUCCCUGGUGGCGCAGUGGUUAAGAAUCUGCCUGCCAAUGUAGGGAACACGGCUUUGAGCCCUGGUCCGGGAAGAUUCUACAUGCCACAGAGCAACUAAGCCUGUGCACUGCAACUACUGAGCCUGCGCUCUAGAGCCCAUGAGCCACAACUACUGAAGCCCGCACGCCUAGAGCCCAUGCUCCGCGACAAGAGAAGCCACCGCAAGGAGAAGCCCGCGCACUGCAACGAAGAGUAGCCCCCACGCGUCGCAACUAGAGAAAGCCCGCGUGCAGCAAUGAAGACCCAACACAGCCAAAAAUAGAUAAAUUAAUUAAUUUGUAAAAAAAAAAAAAAGAUGCUGUACUGGAUGGAUGUGUGAAGUACAAGUUAUGUGAACGUUAAGUGUGUGAGAGACAGGUGGUAUUGGGUGUAUGCCGUGUGGAUGUUAUGUGUGAAGUAUAGUGUGGCGUGUAUAGUGUGAGGUGUCAGGGGAGUGAAAAUUAAUAAAAGGAAACCUCACUAAAAUGGAGUCUGAAGGGGGAGCUUUCAUGCUGUACCACUUGUCAUCAAUUACAGGAAGAACUGUCAGUUAAAGACCCCAACAGAAGAAUCAUGGACAGGAAAGAAUCAUCAAUUACAGGUCCCAACAGGAAAAGAUGUACAUUAAAUCUCCUAGAAGAAAUCCACUACCCGAGCAACUCAGGCAAUGAGAAACCAUCAUCACCCUGAACUUUCACAUUUCUCCAAUGGACUUUCCUUCAAAACGACCCCUCCCAAUGUCCUCCCUUUUCUCUAUAAAAUAACCUUCUUUGUUGGACUUGCCUAUGGCUUUCGCUAAAGAUUCCUUGUCCCAAAUUGCAAUUCCUCUGCUAUUCCUGAAUAAACCCAUUCUU